rnacentral:rRNA from 1 species
GUCCACGCCCUAAACGAUGAAUACUCGCUGUUAGCGAUACACAGUUAGCGGCUAAGCGAAAGCGUUAAGUAUUCCACCUGGGGAGUACGCCCGCAAGGGUGAAACUCAAAGGAAUUGACGGGGGCCCGCACAAGCGGAGGAGCAUGUGGUUUAAUUCGAUGAUACGCGAGGAACCUUACCCGGGCUUGAAAGUUAGUGACGAUACCAGAGAUGGUAUCUUGAGCAAUCACACGAAACUAGGUGCUGCAUGGCUGUCGU